CAGAGGAGAGUUUUCUCAGUGGAUACAUGCUUGUUGACAGUGCAGGAGGUUUUUGUACGGCCACUUAAUGAGUUUGUAUCACUGUGGUGGACUUUUGGUGGAGGAACCAAACUCAUCGUUGACUUGGGUGUGCAGCGGCCCACCCUGAGUGUCCUCCCCCCCUCCAAAGAGGAGCUGCAGCAGGGUAGUGGCACCCUGGUGUGUCUGGCCAGCGGGGGCUUCCCCUCAGCCUGGACGCUGGGCUGGAAGGUGGGGGGCAGCAGCAGCUCCUCCGGGGUGUCCAACAGCCUGGAGGUGCUGGGGAGCGACGGCCGCUACAGCUGGAGCAGCACCCUGAGCCUCACUGCAGAGCGCUGGAGGAAUGCGGGUUCAGUGAACUGUGAGGCCAGUCUGAGUGGACAGAGCCCUGUCACUGAAAGCCUGGACCCUGCCCGCUGCUCAGAGUAGAGCUGCAGCAUCACUUCCUGUCUGGAAAGGAUGCGGCUUCUUUGAUAGAGAUCUUCAUGAAGAUACACAUCUCCUCUGCUCACAGGUUCCUGCAAGGUUGUCUCUAUUCAGUGUUUUAGUGUUGCUUUCUGAUCCUCACAUCCUGCAUAUUCUCCUUUAUGUUCAUCAGCUUACAAGUUAAACUGAACUCUAUUUGUUUCACUCCAAGAGAAACUCAUCAUUCAUCUAAAAUGUGGCGUGAACAUUAAACCAUCAUCAAAUAAAAAUGUUGAUUAAAAUGA